GACUGCACCAAGCUUUUUUCUAGAUAAUAAUCAUCUUACUUACCAAACUUACUCUCUAAGUUCAGUGCGACUGGGUCCGCUCUCCGCAGAGCAAUGUCCAGUUCGAGGUUUCUCUUCAGAAACGGUACGGUGCUCCACUCCUCCGACGCUGCCGCUCCAAUCACAACCUUCCUCGAGUCUCAUCCAGGCGCUUAUACGACCACUCGUACCCACCACACUGCUUCCUGCCUCUUGUUCUGGGAAAGGCACGUUAAUCGACUUGCCGACUCGAUCCGAAUUCUAUCGAAUUCUGCUCCGAAACUUUUAUUCCAAUCGAACAAUCAUCGACUUUCUUUGCCAGUGACUUCGCCGAUGUGGGAAUCGGCUGUUCGGGCGCUUGUGGACGACUCGAUGAACGAAGCGUUGCCUAUUGCAAUGAAUGAGAGGAGGGGUGGGGAGGAACUGUCCGUUACGGUGCUUGUUUGUGGGAGCUCGGGGAGAUUUAAUGGAUUCGAGUAUGUGGAUGAAGAAUUGAUGCGCGAAGCUCUUGAUGUGUAUGUUUCUGUUGGGUGUUAUGUGCCUCGUGCCUUCGAUGUUCGAGGAAAUGGCGCACGCCUGGCUGUGGUUGGUCAGGGGAGGGAUGUCGCGAAUGCCAAGUAUUCAGAUUGGGUGAGACUUAGGAAGCCCCUGGAGAAGUUGAGGCCUCCUUCAGUGACCGAGCUUCUGUUGUCGAAUGAUGGUGAUCACAUACUCGAAGGUUGUGUGACAAACUUUUUUGUUGUCUGUCGCAAGGAUAACGAUGAAGCCAAGGGGACUUGCUUGCAUGAUCAGAAUAAUACAUGUGCUUUCGAAGUACAGACAGCUCCUAUUCAGGAUGGUGUCCUUCCAGGAAUUAUUCGCCAAAUAGUGAUGGAUUUGUUCAUUUCUCAUUCAGAGUUUAUGUCCGCGAAAAUUUGCCCACGGUCAAUGUUUCCAUCUCUUCAACAGGAGAAGUUCUUUGAAGCUUUCUCUAAUGUCCAUAGAUCAUGUUGAAGGCUGGGAAGUUAUCAUUUCAACGGUGAAUUUAAUAAUCAGUUGCUCUAACCUGUGAGGUGUUCUAUCACACUAUUCAUAUAGAACUAUAACCGCGAAGAUGCAACUAAUUUGCCUAAUAAUGGAAUUAUUUCUCGUGCCAGUGACCAUAUGAGCUAGUAUUUUGCAAUAAAAGACAGGGCACUUGGUCAAUACUAGCCUAGGCUCAGUACUCUAACUUGUCCGUGUUCACUUUCUGUUAUGAAUCACCUAACAUUCACAUGUUACUAAAUAAAAAAAGAAAGUGCGCAUAUUUGCUUGUAGGAUUCAAUUUGUUUGGAUUUGUUAUUCUACAAUUUUGACAGAGUAUGCUUGAGCAAGGGAAUCUCAUUUCGGGAAGUUGCCCCUUCAUGGUCAAAACAUGAAAUUUGGGAGGAGGCGUUCAUCACAAGUAGCUUGAGACUUUUGGAACAUGUGGAGACAAUUCAAGUUCCAAGUUCUUGGAAG